rnacentral:snRNA from 1 species
UAAGCUUUUCAGCCUCUGACUAAGAUCAAAUGUAGUAUGUGUUCUUAUCAGUUUAAUAUCUUUUAUGUCCUCAAUUUGAAAAGGACAUCUAGGUGGCACAGGGGAUAAAGAGCCAGGCUUGAGGUCAGGAAGAUUUCAUCUUCCCAAACUCAAAUUUGGUCUCAGACAUUUAUUAGCUAUGUGACUCUAGGCAAGUCAC